CCCUCUUUCUGUUCUCAUGAUAGUCAGUGAGUUCUCACGAGAUCUGAUGGUUUUGUAAGUGUGUGGUAGUUCCUCCUUUGUUCCUUUUCCUUCCUGCCACCUUGAGAAGAAGGUGCUUUUCUUCCCUUUCACCUUCGGCCAUUAUUGUAAGUUUCCCGAGGCCUCCCCAGCCAUGCUGAGUGCCAAGUGGAAGAAGCCAAGUGAAGGGCUAUGGGGACCUAGAAGAUGGAGUCGUCACACAGUGGAAGAAUUGCAGAUCUCUGAGUCACCAUUUGGACAAGAACCUACUAGAACAGGUGCCUGAACAAGAACACUGGACUUUGUGUUCUUUUUCAUCAUUUAUAAAACCAUGGAGGCCUGGAAAUGAACCGAGAGUGACUAUUCAUGCCUGAGCUAAUGUCUCUUCCCCCAGGGAUACUGCUGGAAGAUGGACAGUGAAUUGUCAGAAUUCAGAAGUUCCAGGUCAGAGGUUGACUCAGCCACCCCUGGGCUGAUGGAACCAUCAGAAGGAUCCUCUGAUUCAGUCCCCAAACUGGGCCCUGUGGAGCAGCAUCCCAGACAGCAGGAAUCGGACCUGCAAUUACUCCUUGGGACUCAGGGAGGAGUUUUAACAAGAAAACUGCACAUCUUCAGAGCAGGUGGUCUUUUCUGUCUCUAUAAUCAAACAAAAAUUUUUUUCGACUGUUCUAUAACAGACUGCUGCCUGGGAUCCUAGAACUGUUGCGUUUUUGAUCUUCCUCUUCGCAGCAUGGACAGUGGAUCCCCUUGAUCUGCAAGCCCUGCCCUGCCUCUCUCUGCACGCUGGGGGUUCAGGGAGGCUACACCCUUGGGGGGCACUGGGAGCUGCUGGAGAUGUGCACAGCGAGCAGUGGAGAGCAGUCGUCUCUUCUGAUCUACAUGCAGGGGAACUGGUGAGAGUUGCCGUAGGACCUCUGGUGAAAUUACCUUGGCUACUGACUAGUAAAGAGAUGAGAAAGGAGAGGUACUAUAGAUUUUCUUUAAGAAAUAAAUAUUGUCUCCUCUUUCUCUCUUUUCUCUGGUAAACAGUGCCCAAAUUUGGAAAUAUCACGUGUAAUUUAUUGUCCCACUUUAAAUGUUUCUUGUAACCAUGAAUUACUAUUCUUGGAUCAGAUUCCAUUAUAAUAAACUCCCACUUGGACUCCAAAUUCUUUUACAACAGUGGAAUUUUGCUUGAACUAACGCAUUGUUAUAAAUCACAUUUUCUGACCCCAGCCUGGAGUUCA
rnacentral:lncRNA from 1 species